rnacentral:rRNA from 1 species
AACGAGCGCUGGCGGCAUGCUUUACACAUGCAAGUCGAACGGUAACAGGCCGCAAGGUGCUGACGAGUGGCGAACGGGUGAGUAAUGCAUCGGAACGUGCCCAGUCGUGGGGGAUAACGCAGCGAAAGCUGCGCUAAUACCGCAUACGAUCGAUGGAUGAAAGCGGGGGACCGUAAGGCCUCGCGCGAUUGGAGCGGCCGAUGUCGGAUUAGGUAGUUGGUGGGGUAAAGGCUCACCAAGCCAACGAUCUGUAGCUGGUCUGAGAGGACGACCAGCCACACUGGGACUGAGACACGGCCCAGACUCCUACGGGAGGCAGCAGUGGGGAAUUUUGGACAAUGGGCGCAAGCCUGAUCCAGCAAUGCCGCGUGCAGGAAGAAGGCCUUCGGGUUGUAAACUGCUUUUGUACGGAACGAAACGGUCCUGGUUAAUACCUGGGGCUAAUGACGGUACCGUAAGAAUAAGCACCGGCUAACUACGUGCCAGCCGCCGCCGUAACAC